UACCGCAUACGUCCUACGGGAGAAAGCAGGGGAUCUUCGGACCUUGCGCUAAUAGAUGAGCCUAAGUCGGAUUAGCUAGUUGGUGGGGUAAAGGCCUACCAAGGCGACGAUCUGUAGCGGGUCUGAGAGGAUGAUCCGCCACACUGGGACUGAGACACGGCCCAGACUCCUACGGGAGGCAGCAGUGGGGAAUAUUGGACAAUGGGCGCAAGCCUGAUCCAGCCAUGCCGCGUGUGUGAAGAAGGCCUUAUGGUUGUAAAGCACUUUAAGCGAGGAGGAGGCUACUGAAGUUAAUACCUUCAGAUAGUGGACGUUACUCGCAGAAUAAGCACCGGCUAACUCUGUGCCAGCAGCCGCGGUAAUACAGAGGGUGCGAGCGUUAAUCGGAUUUACUGGGCGUAAAGCGCGCGUAGGCGGCU
rnacentral:rRNA from 1 species